rnacentral:rRNA from 1 species
GACGAACGCUGGCGGCGUGCCUAAUACAUGCAAGUUGAGCGAUGAAGAUUGGUGCUUGCACCAAUUUGAAGAGCAGCGAACGGGUGAGUAACGCGUGGGUAAUCUGCCUUUGAGCGGGGGACAACAUUUGGAAACGAAUGCUAAUACCGCAUAACAACUUUAAACAUAAGUUUUAAGUUUGAAAGAUGCAAUUUCAUCACUCAAAGAUGAUCCCGCGUUGUAUUAGCUAGUUGGUGAGGUAAAGGCUCACCAAGGCGAUGAUACAUAGCCGACCUGAGAGGGUGAUCGGCCACAUUGGGAAGGAGACAAGGCCCAAAAUCCUAAGGGAGGCAGCAGUAGGGAAACUUCGGAAAUGGACGAAAGUCUGAACGAGCAAAGCCGGGGGAGUGAAGAAGGUUUUCGGAUCGUAAAACUCUGUUGGUAGAGAAGAACGUUGGUGAGAGUGGAAAGCUCAUAAAGUGACGGUAACUACACAGAAAGGGACGGCUAACUACGUG